CCCAGGACCCUGAGAUCAUGACCUGAACUGAAGGCAGACUUAACUGAUUGAGCCACCCAGAAAUAGGAGCCUCCAAAAUAGAAGCAUUUAUCCAGCCUUGCACUGGUCUGCAGGAAAGAGGAAGAAAGGAACAAAGCACAGGAAUUUUGAUAGAUUACCACUGCCUAUCUGAGGGACAUAGACUGCUGGCUGUUAACAAUCAACCAGAAUGCCACCAAGUCUUCACAGUGAAGAGUCAGCAAAGACCUCCUUAUGAGUCUGACAGAGGGAAAGGAAGGGUAACCACUCUGAAAUACGCUGAGAGCGUUCUCCAUAAGAAAGAGCUACUAUCCAGAGAACUUCCCCUGCAUGGUGUGGAAAAGAGGCUGGAAGGAGAAGACUGGCAUGUCCCAGCACUUGACGGCUAGAUUGUGUCUCACACAAUGUUGCUAGAGCUUGCUUACAGCAUCUGCCAGCUGUCUUGUUUAGAGCAUGAUCCUAAUAGGGGAUUCUCUCUUCGGGAAAAUAUUGCUUUCUUCUGCAUCAUUGUAAUUCCUGAAUUUCCAUGUCUACGUGCUGGAGAUAAGGUUUCUUUUACUAUGCAAUAACAAACUGCAGAUAAAAAAUUUUUUUUGAAGUUUUCAUUCAUAAAUGCAUAAACAAUAGGAUUACAGAUGGAAUUGGAAAAUCCAAUUAUUUGCACUAUAGCAAAAAUCAUCUUGAUUGUUACAUCAUCAUAUUCCUUUUCAAAAUUGCCUGAAAUAAAAAGUAAUAAUAUAGAAUGCAUUAUGUUCUAAUGAGCACGAAAUAAAAUUAUCAUCUAUCUUUA